rnacentral:lncRNA from 1 species
UUUUUUUUUUUUUUUUUUUUUUUUUUGAGAGAAGCUCAAAUCUUCAAGGAGUAGCAAUCCUUUAAACAUUUAAAUUGUAAGUAGGCUAUCUAUUUCUUUAUAUGGUGAUCUUGGGGGAGAGAACCAUGAUACAGGAACAGUAGGUAAUAUGGACCAGGUACUUUUGAUGGCUAUGCCACUUUCUGAUAAUAAUAUACAUAUAUUUUUAGUAGGUGUAACUAAGCUUCAUAUAUUAACUCUAGUCACUGAUAUGGCCACUUUAAUAAACACACUGGAUACAGAUUCCUUUCAGAUGAAAGAGAAGAAGGCUUCUUAGGGGGGGAAAAAGAGUCUAAUAAGGAUCUUUCAUUUUCAGUUAGUCAACCUGUUUUCUCUAUGCUCUGUAAUACAUAGCUUCAAUGCAGAACCAAAGGGCCACAUAUCUGAAAAAGGGUAAACUGAUAUACCCGAACACAGAUAAUCAGUUCUGUUCACCGGACCAGACUGCAAAUGUCAGAGCCACAAAUUUGAUCUCUAUCAAAUGUAUUCAUUUCCAGCUGAUCUCCGAUCACAUUUCCUAUCAGUUCCCUAAUGACCAUCUUCCUAAAGCUUCCCAAGAGUUAACCAGUUAUGUGUCUAGUUAUCAAUUCAAAUAUUACCACCAAAAACCCCCAACAAAACUGUUAAACAACAAAUUCAGCUAAGGAUGGAACAGGAAAUAAGUGAGUAGCUAAAAUAUUUUUUAUUGGAAGGAUGAGGUUAUAAGUGAUUUACUCACUGGUUGGGCGAUUCAUGGGAUUCUGCUGAGUUACUUAUGAACAUAAUCUGAUUCUAGUUGUUAUGGCAACAUACAAGAAAAAAGUAGAAAAAAUUCACGAAUAAAUUUUUCUUGAAAUGAUCCAAAAUAUUAGCUGUUAAAUGAGAGCAGAAAAGUGAUGAACAUUUGAAGAAAAAUAGAAGUCUUGCUUUGCCCUCAGGACAGUUCUUUCCUACUCCCCCCUCUAUUAAUAUGCAAGGCGUGAAACAUUAAAUGUCACAUCCAUGUCAUACUCUAAUGCCUAUGCACUGAAGAAUCAGAGUGUAGAAUUCUUUGCCAACAUGACUUGGGCUUAAAAAAAAAAAUCCAUUAACCAGAAGAAAAAAGGUCAAAAACAUAAUUCUUAGUUUUCCUUCAAAUUUUCUACCAAAAUGAGGACAAAUUGGAAAAAAAAAUUCCCAGGCUUUUAAGACACCAUUUUCUCAAUUUUCUAGUGGAAGAUAGUGCCCUGAAUAAAGAAGUCAUGAAAAAGCAUCAAACUCUCUUUUAUCAUUCCUGAAUAAAAACUUAUAGCUUCAUCCAGGAAAGGAAACACAUAAAACUUUUUAGGGAGAGAAGCCACUGUUGGAUGUUCCUUUAAAAUAUUUUUUUAUUGCUAUUGUUUUUCAGAGGAGAGGACUGUUAUUUUUCUCCCAACUAUGCACUUGAUGAUGGUACUAAGAGAGAAAGAAUGUGAACCACUGAUUGUUAUUUCUACUGCCAGCAAAACAGAACUCUGUCAAUAAUGGACCACCAUUACCUAACUCUGCAGCUCUCUUGCACAUGACUCUCGAAUCUUUAUUUCUUGCAUUGAUAGAACUCAAUUGACUUUAGUGGCUGAGAGUUUAUAUGCGUAUUUGAACAAGACUGAUUUUCCCAAUGGCUUGCCAAAGACUGUCUGUAACCAUCAGCAUUCCUGUCUGCAGGCUGCUAGGUGGAAUUAAUAUGUACUUCUGUCCAUUUCUUGGCAGCUAUGAGUCAUCAAGGUCACCCCAAAAACACUUCUAGUCUCACAUAUCAGUACAUAGGCUUUGGUGUAAGUAGGAUGCCAGAGUUGUCGGGUGCUGCUCUGUGCUCAGGGGAUAUGUAAGUACUCAGUUGUUCUGAAUUUGUGGUAGAAGACAUACCUUUUGGAUUAGCUUUCCUCCGAUCUGCUACUCUAUAACUCAUCUGUUUCAUCCUUCUUAAUGAGGAAAAAAUUAACUUCUUAAAUUCCACACUAGUGGUUUCCAUUUUUCUCUGUGUAUACAUCACAUGUUCAAAUACAAGCGUCCCUGAAGUGAGCAAUGACUUAUUAUAGGAGGACAAUGUUCUGUGGCUUCAGGACAUCUAUCUGAGAUUUUGCAUUUUUUCUUGUGGUCACCCUCAGACCUUGUCUUCUUAAGUAAAACUAUUUACUGCCCUGACUGAUUGGAAAUCAGGUCCUGGGAAUGCAGUGGGGGAACAAACAGACACAGUCCCUGUCCUCAUUUAGUCCAUGUCCUGGGGAUGGAGACAGGCGUUAGGCAGAUAAUUAUGCAAACUAUUUAGCUCUAUCAUAAUAGAUUGAGUGGAGAGAGACAAAACAAGCAACAAACAAAUUUAAAUACUAUUAUAGAUAAAUGUUUUCUCUCUUUCCUCUCCUUCAUUUUUUCCUUUAAAGAGCUUGGGGGAAAGCGAUCAGUAUAUUCUGUUCACAUUACCAAUCAGCAACUGUUAAAUACCCUGACAACACCAGAUGUCGACUCUGAAAUGAAAGGCAUCUGGUCUAGUGCAGGAGAAACAGCACGUGCAAGCAUGGGCCCGGGCUCUAAAAUCUGCUCUGAAACACCUUGUUGGGUUUUGGGGAAUUUUAGGACAAAACUAGCAACUGGUGCUCCAUCAGCCUGUGCCCUCUGGGGAUUUCCUGUGGCUUCAAAGUGCUCCCAGAGACAGAAGUUUCUCUUGUUGCCUUUAUCAACACAGGAUGUUCACCAAAGCCAGCACUGUGCCCUUCUGACCACAGCACGGCUGCUGAUUUUCUUGGUAAGGCAAAGAGCGGAAAUGAUAUUUGAAGCCCUUGCCAACCACAAGAGGAUUUGUGAACCUUGGAGAGAAAAAUAAGCAACUUUGAAGAGCCAGGGGAAAAAAGUACUGGGUAGAGAAUCAGGAGACCCAACUUUUUGCCCUGGCUCCAUUACUAAAAAUUUGCUCAGAAAUGGUGGGCAGUCCAUUUUAUAUCUCCCUGGGCCUCCUCCAUUAGUGAAUGAGCUGGUUAGAUCAUCUCUAAGACAGGCAGGGUAAUGAAGUAACAAGAGGAUUUGGGGGAGAGGCAGAUAUGGAUUUGCAUCGCUGCUUUCCCAAUUCACUAGAUGAGUAACUUAGGAGGUUAUUUAGUUCCUCAACAUCUUGGUUUCCUCUUCUGAAAAAUGGACAUGAUUAUCCCUACUUCAUAGGGCUGUUUUCAGGGUAUGAGUAUUAAAUAAAGUGCUUAUCACAGUGCCUAGCUAAGUGCUAAGUGUUAGCUAUUAAGCUUUUAAGAAAAUUCAUAUAAUUGCUUUGUAAUUAAGGUAAAUUAAUACUUUUUAAGGUAAAUCAAUAUUUAUAUAACAUUUCAUAAAAGAGGUACCUAUAACAAGGAUGCUGAAAAAGUCUAUUUAUGUUUGUAGUUAUAAGGGGUGUGUGUGUGUGUGUAAAUGUAUGCAUGGGUAUACAAAAACACUUGUUUAUUUAAGUACAAUAUAGUUUUCAAUGCUUAAAGCAUAACUGGAUGUAGGAGAGGUCUUCUGAUCUAUAAUUAAAAGCAUUCUCCUGAAUGUGUGUAAAAGUAUAAACCUUUCUUCAGAAAGCAUAUUGAGUCAUGGAAAGAUGGAAAAUGAAAUAUUAAAACUUGUUUUAAAUUACAUUAUGUGUUACCAUUUAUGAAAUCUAUAGUAUGGGGGCUUUUGUCAAAUAAGGAUGCUCUGUUUGUGGUAUC